AAAUUGAAGAGUUUGAUCAUGGCUCAGAUUGAACGCUGGCGGCAGGCCUAACACAUGCAAGUCGAACGGUAACAGGAAGCAGCUUGCUGCUUCGCUGACGAGUGGCGGACGGGUGAGUAAUGUCUGGGAAACUGCCUGAUGGAGGGGGAUAACUACUGGAAACGGUGGCUAAUACCGCAUAACGUCGCAAGACCAAAGAGGGGGACCUUCGGGCCUCUUGCCAUCAGAUGUGCCCAGAUGGGAUUAGCUUGUUGGUGAGGUAACGGCUCACCAAGGCGACGAUCCCUAGCUGGUCUGAGAGGAUGACCAGCCACACUGGAACUGAGACACGGUCCAGACUCCUACGGGAGGCAGCAGUGGGGAAUAUUGCACAAUGGGCGCAAGCCUGAUGCAGCCAUGCCGCGUGUAUGAAGAAGGCCUUCGGGUUGUAAAGUACUUUCAGCGGGGAGGAAGGUGUUGCGGUUAAUAACCGCAGCAAUUGACGUUACCCGCAGAAGAAGCACCGGCUAACUCCGUGCCAGCAGCCGCGGUAAUACGGAGGGUGCAAGCGUUAAUCGGAAUUACUGGGCGUAAAGCGCACGCAGGCGGUCUGUCAAGUCGGAUGUGAAAUCCCCGGGCUCAACCUGGGAACUGCAUUCGAAACUGGCAGGCUUGAGUCUUGUAGAGGGGGGUAGAAUUCCAGGUGUAGCGGUGAAAUGCGUAGAGAUCUGGAGGAAUACCGGUGGCGAAGGCGGCCCCCUGGACAAAGACUGACGCUCAGGUGCGAAAGCGUG
rnacentral:rRNA from 1 species